rnacentral:misc_RNA from 1 species
UCCCAUUCAGUCAUGGAUGCGGUUACCUGCAGUUCCUGGCCGAACACGGCCGGCCGCGUAUAACGAAGGGCCAGCUUGACGACGGGCCAUGCGUAACCCGACUCGGACAUCUCGGUAUACCCGUAGUCAAUGCUGUCGAGCAAAGCGCAUCGCGCCACCUCGAGGUACUUGACAUAGUGGCCGUGCCAGACAACAUCCAUGCUGUCGACGUCAAAAAAAGGUACGCGGAUGUCCGCGACGGCACUGGGAAGCGUCGGCAUCACGACUCCUCGUGCCAGAAUUGGAAAAAGUUGUACCACUGCUCCGGAUACCGCAACAUCACUUCCUCCACGACGUUUGCGUAAAGUUGAGCAUAAUCCUGCAACGCCUGCCGUCGAUUGCUGCGCUGAGCCAGGUGCAC